GCCCCCUGACCAUCUGCUCGUGGCUGAAUGUAGUUGAUGAUCCCUGACGUAGAGGGAGAGAUAGAGAGGAAGGAUGGACGGAUGAACUAGAGCGAUGAUAUACUUCAUGUUUUGAUUUACUUUAUUGUUUGGUGCCUUUUAGAUUCAUUUUCAGAUCUCUUACCCAGCUCUUGUUAAUGACGUGCAGUAAAUUGCCCCAUGCAGUCCCCUCUCUCCAAGUGUGAGUAGGCCAUGCCAAUAGUCCUGUGUUCACAGUAAUUGCCUCUGCUUGUGUAGCGUCGGCUGGGGCAGCAUGGGCACGUUACCUGAAGUGAUGCAGGGGGGUCCCACUCAUAUGUCUGUAGCUCGCUUAGCUCUCGCCCCCCUCAGCCCCCCAACGAGCAUACACACAUGUACUCAGUGGGACCCAGACUGGGUCACUUUUACCAAGCAGUACCAUUUAUGUGACAGUUCUGACUGUAUGUGACCUAAUAACAUAAAAUAACAUGACCUAUGAUGUUAUUUAUGUUAUUUUUACACGCCAAGAACCCCGGUAAACCUUGCGGUUUUGAAACUGAGUGAAGCAGGCGUCUUAGACAAACUGAAAAACAAAUGGUGGUACGAUAAGGGCGAGUGUGGACCCAAGGACUCGGGAAGUAAGGACAAGUCCUCCCAGGCCCUGAGCCUGAGCAACGUGGCUGGGGUCUUCUACAUCCUGGUGGGGGGUCUGGGCCUAGCCAUGCUGGUGGCCCUGGURGAGUUCUGCUACAAGUCGCGUGCCGAGGCCAAGCGCAUGAAGGUGGACCUUAGCCCCCCUCACUGCCCCAGCCCCUCUCCCAGCACCCAGAAUUUAGCCACUUAUAGAGAGGGGUACAACGUAUACGGCUCCGAGGGGGUCAAGAUAUAGGGCUGCCCUUUACAGAAGCCAUGCGGAACAAGGCUCGGCUGUCAAUCACGGGCAGUGUGGGUGAGAAUGGGCGUGUUUUAACACCGGACUGCCCUAAGGCCGUCCAUGCUGGCCACUCCCUCAGACACCCAGGGCUUACCCUACCAUCGGGCCUACCCUGAAAACCAAAAACACACACUGUGCCUUAACCACACACACGGCUACGUCAUUACCACCCCGACGCCACACACACAGACACACAGACCAGAGACCGCCAGCAAGCUAACAGCAACAACAGGGAGAGAGGAGGGACAAAUAUGAUGAUCACCAUCACACUAAAAUCCUAACUUGAGCUCCAUGAAACAAGGACAACAAGGUGACAAACUAACAGUGUUAGAACACUGACGACGUGGAACCGAAAAGAAAAACUGAGAAAGAUAAAAAGAUGAAAAUGGUGAUGAUGAUGGUGAUGAUGAAGACUUUGAGCACUGUCAUGAGCAGGCAGACGUGACUUUAUCUGCUCCAAUGUGAUAGACUGCGUCCUCUAACAAGCCACACCCCUGAUCCCCUACCAGGAAACAAUGCUUUAGGACAAAUCUUCAUCAUCUUCACUUGCCUACGAAGAAUAAGCUCCAGGCGAAUCACUUAUAAGACCAGAAAACUGUAAACCUGAAAACGUUGGACUGUACAAACCUGCUCUUUCUCCAUGAACUGUUCAGACGAACAUGCUUUUACAACGCUUUGGUUAGCGUCUCGCAAACACAAUGCAGAGAUCACUGAAGUUACCGUAAUAGAUGAAAACUCAACUGAUAUCUCCAAACUCUUAUGGCUAACACGACCGUAGGAUUCACAGGGGUUUGUAAAAAAUGAAAAUAAAAAGAGUAAUAGCUACUGAAACGAUCCAUAAUAAUGACAGUAACGCUAAAUAACAACUACAUGUAUCCCUUCUCGGGGAGGGAAACAGAGGUAAAGCUGUACAUUCUGUGAAAAGUGAAGAAAACGUAUAAAGGUAAAUCCCCCAUAUAAGGUAUUGUUUUUGACCAGGGCCAGAUUUAGCCAUCUAGAGCGCUGGUGUAAAGUAGUCCACUAUAUGGGGGACAGGGUGUCACGUGGGACAUGGACAUGUUGUUUUCCAGUGGAGAGGGAAGGUACUGACUGUUUCAGAUGCUUGCAUUUUAAACUGUUGUAAAUUACUGUGUAGCAAAACUGAACUCACCUCUCUUUUUUAACCAUCUUAGGUAAUAAUUCAUUGCAAUAAUGAAUAUAACAAAAUGCCACUUGUAAUUAUGAAUACAUCUUUUUAUAAAUACAUAUUAUAUAUAAUACAAAUGAAUANAAUAUAUAUAU